rnacentral:rRNA from 1 species
UACGGAGGGUGCAAGCGUUAUCCGGAUUUAUUGGGUUUAAAGGGUCUGUAGGCGGUUUAAUAAGUCAGAGGUGAAAUUCUAUUGCUCAACGAUAGGACUGCCUUUGAAACUGUUAGACUUGAGUGUUAUUGAAGUGGCUGGAAUAGGUAGUGUAGCGGUGAAAUGCAUAGAUAUUACCUAGAACACCAAUUGCGAAGGCAGGUCACUAAGUAACAACUGACGCUGAUAGACGAAAGCGUAGGUAGCGAAC